GGGAAGCAACAUGAAGGUUGAUUUUGAGAAGUUUGAUGGAAAAAAAACUUUUUUAUGUGUAAAGUUUGGGCAGAAGAUCUUUUGAUUCAAGUAGAUCUGGAUCAGGCAUUUGAAAAGAAGCCUGAAGGGAUGAUGGAUCAUCAAUGGAGGUCCUUGGAGAAGAAGGCUUGUUCUGUGAUUAGAGGAUAUUUGAUGAAUGUGGCAC
rnacentral:lncRNA from 1 species